GACGAACGCUGGCGGCGCGCUUAACACAUGCAAGUCGAGCGGAGCGGCGGACGGGUGAGUAACGCGUGAGUAACUGCCCCCCUCUCUGGGGUAACAGUUGGAAACGGCUGCUAAUACCUGAUAGUGUGGGAUGAGUCGCGUCCUAUCAGCUUGUUGGUGGGGUAGUGGCCUACCAAGGCGACGACGGGUAGCCGGACUGUGAGGGCGAGCGGCCACAUAGGGCUGAGGUACGGCCGAAGCGCCUACUGGGGGAAGCAGUGGGGAAUAUUGAAGCAUGGGGGAAACCUGUAUGAAGCAGCGCGCGGGCUGUAAGACGGUUUUCGCGGUGUAAACCGCUUUAAGCCAUGACGCGGUUGUGGCAGAAGAAGCACCGGGUAACUACCGUGCAGCCGCCGGGGUUAAUC
rnacentral:rRNA from 1 species